rnacentral:rRNA from 1 species
CCUGAGAAACCCAAAAGAUCGAAUGGGGAGAUUCAUCGUCAGCGAUUUUGGUACGUGUGCGGUUCGCGAUGUCUGCGAGAUUUCGGUCUCAAUGGCACGCGUCCGCAUGUUUUUUAUUGCCUGAAUCGUCGGCGUGCACUUCUCCCCUAGUAGGACGUCGCGACCCGUUGGGUGUCGGUCUACGGCCCGGGUGGUAGCCUGUUUCGUGUGCGCUUUACGGCGUUACGCGGGGCAGACCCCCGGUUGCCUGGCCGGCUGCCCGGCGGUACUCGUACGGUAUCUGGCCGCAAAUAUUCGAACUGCGUCCGGCCCGUCGCAAGCGAGGCAAGUGUUUCCCGGAUGUACGGAUCUAAUGCCGUCACCGGGCCUUGCCAGCUGUUGGUUGACGGUGUCCUAGGACUGGCUAACAAAUUAUGAUACCGGUCGGCGACGCUACUGCUUUGGGUACUUUCAGGGA